AGAUGGCGUAGUGGGUUGUCUCGUUGGCUUCUAAUCCAGUGACCCUGGAUUCGAAUCCUUCUUGUU
rnacentral:tRNA from 1 species